rnacentral:rRNA from 1 species
UACGGAGGGGGCUAGCGUUGUUCGGAAUUACUGGGCGUAAAGCGCACGUAGGCGGCUUUGCAAGUCAGAGGUGAAAGCCCGGGGCUCAACCCCGGAAUUGCCUUUGAGACUGCAUCGCUAGAAUUGUGGAGAGGUAAGUGGAAUUCCGAGUGUAGAGGUGAAAUUCGUAGAUAUUCGGAAGAACACCAGUGGCGAAGGCGACUCGCUGGACAAGUAUUGACGCUGAGGUGCGAAAGCGUGGGGAGCAACAGG